AGGCAGGGGAUGCCGUGAGGUACAAGCCUAUGGGGUUUGGGGUGCUGCCACGAGCCAGGGUGAGUCAUUUGUCUCCUGUCACCUACUGACGGCUCUUGCCCUCCCCAGGCCUAUCCCGCCCAUCCAACCACUUCCACCGCUGGUCCCUCACAUCACUGGACAAUCCCACCCUGUUCUAAAGACGGAGCAUACCCACAGGGAGCGGAUGGCUGCAUGCAGGUACCCCGCCUUGCCACGGCAGUCUGGGGGCCAGCAUACCCUCACACACCCGCUGCAGCGCAGCCUGCACCUCCAGCUUCUCCAGCCCAGUGCCCCACAGGCACUCCAGCCCUCCACGCUGCUCCCCAGCAAGCAGGACAAGAUAGAGCUGCCGGGGCAGGACAUCCGCAGGGCUGGCCCCUGCCCCUCAGCCCCAGGCACCACUGGCCCACUGGAACACAGGUCAGCCCCAUCCCAGAGCCACCUUCUCCAGGUACACCGGCCCCACCCACCCCACCUGCCCCGCAGGAUGGAUGCAGCAACCCGGCAGCCGGGAAGGACUGGGGGUCACUGGCA